UAGAGUCAUGACAGAUGGCGAUAGGACCUU
rnacentral:piRNA from 1 species